rnacentral:lncRNA from 1 species
UGUUGAUGAACUAGGCUGAAUGGUGACGCAAAGAUGAUUCGUGGCUUUUCAGCUGUGUGAAAUGUCCCUUCAAGGUAAAUCAAGAAUCUUUCGGCCCAGCACAGUGGCUCACACCUGUAAUCCCAGCACUUUUGGAGGUUUAUGUGAAGUCUUUCUACUUUUUUCAUAGACAAGGUGUCACUCUGUCACUCAGGCUGGAAUGCAGCGGCACAAUCUCUGCUCACUGCAACCUCCACCUCCCAAGCUCAAGUGAGCCUAGUACCUCAGCCUCCUGAGUAGUUAGAACUGCAGGCAUGUACCACCAUAUUUGGCUAAUUUUUGUAUUUUUUGUUUAGACAAAAGUUUCACCAUGUUGCCCCGGCUGGUCUCAAACUCCUGGACUCAAGUGGUCUGCUCACCUCAGCCUCCCAAACUGCUGGGUUUAUAGGUGUGAACCACCAUGCAUUGCUUAAACUAUUUUUUUGUGAGGAUUUUUAGUUUUAUUUACUUAAAAUGUUUCAAUAUUACUGAGAAUAUUAGAUGAAAAUAUUAGAAUAAAUAAAUACUUAGAAUAUUUGAUGAAAAGGUCAUAUUGAUAGUGCUGGAGAUUUUGUUGGUUGUCACAGUAUUUCUGGAAAGAUGUUUGGCAGAAUGUAACAAAAGUGAUACAAAAUGUUAGAGGUU